CCGUGAGGGAAAGUUGAAAAGUACGUUGGAGAGCGGCUCAAAAGGGCGUGAAACCGUUUAGAAGUAAACGAAUGGAGCCGGCGGUAAACCCGCGGGAUUCAGCCUUAAGUGCUGCACUUCGGUGCAGUCGAAGGGUGCAUUUCCCAUGGGUUGGCGCCUAAACCGACAGGCCUUUCUGGUACAUGGCGGCACGAUUGUGGCCUGUUGCUUCGGCGACAGAUACCCGUCGUUACGACCCUACCGAGUAAGCGCUAGUCGAGAAUAGACCGUGCCUGCCUCUGAAGGUUCGCUUUCGGUUCGCUCGCUGGGCGGUUGGACCUUUGUGUCUUGCUUUCGCAGGAUUCCGAGACUCUCGCUCCAUGCGUAGUGGCCGAUGCGACGAUUGGCGCUCAUGGUUUCUGGCGUUUUAGUCGGCCACCCAUUCGACCCGUCUUGAAACACGGACCAAGGAGUCGUACAUGUGCGCAAGUCAUUGGGUGACAAAACCUAAAGGCGUAAUGAAAGUGAAGGCCGACGUCAGUUGGCUGAAGUGGGAUCCCCGUCUCGCGACGGGGCGCACCACUGGCCCGUGCCAACUCCUCUGCGGGUAGCGCGGCGCUAUAGCGUACAUGUUCGGACCCGAAAGAUGGUGAACUAUGCUUGAGUAGGGUGAAGCCAGAGGAAACUCUGGUGGAAGCCCGAAACGGUUCUGACGUGCAAAUCGAUCGUCAGACUCGAGUAUAGGGGCGAAAGACUAAUCGAACCAUCUAGUAGCUGGUUCCUUUCCAAA
rnacentral:rRNA from 1 species